GACGAACGCUGGCGGCGUGCUUAACACAUGCAAGUCGAACGGAAAGGCCCUGCUUUUGUGGGGUGCUCGAGUGGCGAACGGGUGAGUAACACGUGAGUAACCUGCCCUUGACUUUGGGAUAACUUCAGGAAACUGGGGCUAAUACCGGAUAUGAGCUCCUGCUGCAUGGUGGGGGUUGGAAAGUUUCGGCGGUUGGGGAUGUACUCGCGGCUUAUCAGCUUGCUGGUGGGGUAGUGGCUUACCAAGGCUUUGACGGGUAGCCGGCCUGAGAAGGUGACCGGCCACAUUGGGACUGAGAGACGGCCCAGACUCCUACGGGAGGCAGCAGUGGGGAAUAUUGCACAAUGGGCGGAAGCCUGAUGCAGCAACGCCGCGUGCGGGAUGACGGCCUUCGGGUUGUAAACCGCUUUCGCCUGUGACGAAGCGUGAGUGACGGUAAUGGGUAAAGAAGCACCGGCUAACUACGUG
rnacentral:rRNA from 1 species